ACUCGUCCACACACGUUGCGCCGCCUCCACACCGACGCCCGCCCACCCGCCUGCACCUGCGAGCCGCUCGGCAUAGGAUGGCUGCCCGCCGCUCGCUCGCCCGCCCCGUACGGCUUCCCUCCCACCGGCCGCGCCUGCCCCUACUGGCUGCCCACCUCCGGACGUCCACUGCUCGGUUGCCCACCUUCGACAGUAAGCCACGACUGCGCCGCCCCAGGACGCGUCCACCCUCGCCGUUUGCCUGGACGCCCUCCACCGUCGCAGCCGUGUUCCGAUGCUUGAAGUGCGAGCAACUGGAUCCCGCCACGGCCAGCUGGAAUCAAGCGCGGGCACCAGUGGUGGUGGGAUCCCAACCUGGGUGGUGGCAACGAUGGGAUUCUAGCCUAGGCGGCGACGACGGCGAGAUCUCGACAUAGGGGCCGGCGGCGGCGGCGGGAUCCAGGUACUUGGAAUGCCUCUAGAGAAUGCAUAUGCUGUGGAGAGCUGCUAUAUCUUUCUCAUGUUCUUUUAAAAAUGCCAGAAGUGGAAAUUGAUGUCAUAGAGUAUUGUUUUUACCUGUACUGUUAUUAUUCUAUAGUAUUAUGACACUCUAGCAGUGAAGGCAUGAAUUAUCUCUUUCUGUUUUUUAUUGUCUUGGAACAAUAUGACAGAAGAGAGCAGCUUAAGAAAAGUGGUCUGAUGACAAAGAAUAAUAUGCAGUGUAAGUUUGAUGCCUCAUCUUAUUUCUUCCUCGCUGGUGAUAAGGACCAAUACGCAGCUAGUACAAUCAUAGCUUCACAUGUCGAGCUUCCAAGUACUUGCAAGUUGUAGAUUUGUAGUGCAAUGGCUUAUUGCUAGUUGCAAUAUGUUCAGUAGCGCAGUAGUUGUGCUACUCGGAUUUCUUCAGUUUGAUAAUAGAACUGUAAUAGUUUAGCAUGAACAACAGAAAUGUGAGUCUAUUAAAAUGUGUGCACCUUAAAUUACUAUUAUUAAACUGUGUGCUAUAUUUGUAUGUUAGAUUUGAUGCUAAAAGCAUGUUGGGGAUUUAUUCAUGUGAUUGAGCAGGUGAAGGACGAGAUCAGCAAGAGAGUCUAUUGUCACAGUAGUUUCUGAUAAAUUAUUUACUCGUCACAUUAAGUGACUAGUUUGAUGUUAAAUGACAUUACAUAUAGUGUACUUGUUUGAUACAUGAAUCAAUGUAUGAAUAAUGUGAUCACUUUUGAAUGUCAUUACUUAUGUGUAUGUGAAUCGGGGUAUGGCUAAUAUUUGAUCAUCAGCUAUACCUUUAGAUCA